AUAUAAAAGUAUCGGACCUUUUUGCUAUGAGUUUCUAUGUGCUAAAACAAUAAUAUUCAUAUAAUUUUUUAUAAAAUGUAAGCCUAAAAUGCUUACAAGAGUAAAAAAAUUCAAAGCGGUUGAUUCGAGUAAAAAUAAGUAUCAAAAUUGAGUGGGUGAAGAAAAAGAAAUAUAUAAUGAAGUAUAUGUUCCAAACUGUCAAUCCGGCUACCAUUCGACUCUUGAUGACGAGGAGAAAAUUUAUUUUCCAAAGUACUUCACAAUUGAGUCAAUAUAUAUAAGAAAACAAUAAAUAGGGAAGAUUUUUGUAGUAAUAGCUGGCCAGUUUGUUUGCGACAAACAUUUUCUUCCCGAUGAUAUUGUCUGGAAAAGGGAAGUGAAGGAUUCUACUAGAAAUGUGAUAUAGCAUCAUAUAUAGAGUGAAGGAAGUGAGCAAACAGACAGCAAUUAAUAGGCAUAAUCGUUUCAUGAGGCGAAGGUUGAAUAAAGUUCUGGAUAAAAACAAAAGAAACACUUGUACAAGUCUUGAAGGCCGUGAAAUUGAAGAUUUACCACGUACUAAUUACACAAAAUGAUCAAGAAAUAGAUGAACCAAAGGAUCACGACCAAAGUUGUCAAGUAGAGAUUUUCUUUGGCGUUGAGUAUGUUUCACCUGAAAAAUUUUUUAUCUGCAAUAGAAAUGUUCAUACUGAACCUAUUUUUUCCUACAUUGACGUUGAAAUUCAACUGGAAAUAUCAGAAAUUUGAUUUCCAGAUUUCUAAUUUUUCAACGCGGCGAUACUCAUGGUUCCAGUAAGAUCUUGUACGGUUAUGUGUGUGUUGAGUGAACUUGGCCGGCCAGCGCUUUAAUUAAAUUGAUCGACAAUUGAAAGUAAACCAUAAAAAUGGAAACUGUGCAGAUUAGUGUGAAUAUUAAUAAUCCACAGCCCGAAAGGAAAUCCAUUGAGGAUAUUUUGAAAGAGUGGGAACUUGAAAUUCUAAUAGAUGUUAUGAAAGAAAACCAGAUAGAGAUGAAAAAAUAUUAACUAAAUUUAUGACCAUCUAUGUAAAGGAAUUAGUUAAGCCAAUUGGCCUACGAAUGAAAUUCAUCAGUGCAUGGGAAAGUCAUUUCCAUAAAAAGCUACCGGAUACCUUUCUGCAGAUUCACCUACAACGUCGAAUCAUGUUUCGCGACUUGUUUAACUUUCACAAUGAGAGUUUCAUUGGUGGUUAUGUGUUUUCAAGGAGCAAUGGUAAAUUGUUAAAAGUUGGUCUAGGAAACGCUAUAAAUGUUAUUAAUUAAAAUUAACCUUAUGAAUGAUUUUGACAAAAACACUUAGUUAAAAAUUAUUUCAUACAAUAUUUCUAUGCAGAUUGUGGUGAGAAUUGAUCAACCUGAUCAGUUCAUUAUGUUCGUGACUUUUUUUAUGUCUCAAGCUGUUCACCUUUUCUUCGAUUGUUUCUUUAAACAAAUGUUGCUGAAUACUAGUGGAUUUGUUUCAAAUUAUAUGACAGUAUUUUUCAUAAGAUUUUUCCUUAUUUAAGGAAUAAAAGUAAAAUAAAAAUGUCCUUUGCAUUAUUUUUCGUGUUCUUGCGAACCAGUAAAACUCAGCAGGAAUUAAUGGUAGUCAAUGCACCGACCUAAUAUAAUAAAAAACUAUAGAAGUUUUUAAGGAUUCAAUAGGUUUUCUUCAUAAAACAUAAUUUUUCAACAUUUCAUGAUGUUAUUUUAAUUUAAAAGAAAUUAAAUGAGCUUCAUUGUGAUGAUGCGUAAUUUAAUACACUAUAUAUAUUUUUAAACUUGCCGAUUGGAUAAAAAUCGAUUUAUCUAGAGGCAGUUUCUUUCUUGUUAAUAGAAGAACAAAAAAUAUGAAUAAUAAAAGAAUAUUAACAUUUUUAACACUACUUUUUUCAGAUAGGAUUCGAAUUGGUACGUAAUACCUCAAAGCAUCAAAAGCUGUUGUUGAUUAUGAUGUUGAGAAACAUAAAUGAUUGUCAUGAGACAAUUGGAAAAUUCCUGAUUUUAAAUAAUGUAACUUACAGUAAAGUAAGACAAUGACAAACUUAUAUUACAAUUUUCUCUUACAUUUUAUUGAUAAAUAAAAAUAUCUUCAUUAUUAUUAUUUAAGCUGAUAAAGACCGUUUUCUCGUACCUGAGUGUUUUAAUGUCUGUACGCGAAUAAUA